rnacentral:rRNA from 1 species
GGAAUCUUCCACAAUGGACGAAAGUCUGAUGGAGCAACGCCGCGUGAGUGAAGAAGGUUUUCGGAUCGUAAAACUCUGUUGUUGGAGAAGAACACGUUUGAGAGUAACUGUUCAGACGUUGACGGUAUCCAACCAGAAAGCCACGGCUAACUACGUGCCAGCAGCCGCGGUAAUACGGAGGAUGCGAGCGUUAUCCGGAUUUAUUGGGUUUAAAGGGUGCGUAGGCGGGUUCUUAAGCGUGAGGUGAAAUGCCACGGCUCAACCGUGGAACUGCCUCGCGAACUGGGAGUCUGGAAUGCCCCUGCCGUGGGAGGAAUGUGUGGUGUAGCGGUGAAAUGCAUAGAGAUCACACAGAACACCGAUUGCGAAGGCAUCUCACGAAGGGGUGAUUGACGCUGAGGCACGAAAGCGUGGGGAUCAAACA